rnacentral:antisense_RNA from 3 species
CUUCACCGAGCCGAGCCACAGCGGACGCUCCUCCGCCCGGUCCUGGCCGUAGGUGGCGAUCAGGGCUUGGGCUUC